CCUACUUAACUCAGUGGUUAGAGUAUCGCU
rnacentral:tRNA from 1 species